rnacentral:rRNA from 1 species
CAUCCACGUAUACCCAACCUUCCAUUGAUUCUACAGCAUGUGUACUGCCGUUGUAAGCAUACCUUUAAGAGAGUAGUAUGCUACUAUGACAAAUUAACUCAUAUACAUCAGGUCAAAGUGCAGCCUAUGGGAAGGUGAUGAUGGGUUACAACCCCAAAACAGAAUAUCAACUAAGAAAUAAAAAAUCUUAUGAAAGUGGACUUGGCCGUAAUUAAUUUACAAGUUAAAAAAAUGAAUAAAAUCUAAGACAUGUACACAUCGCCCGUCACUCUAUCCUAAAGGUUAGAUAAGUCGUAACAAAGUAGGUGUAAUGGAAAUUGCACCUGUCGAAGUAUAGCAUAUAUAAUGCUUUUUACUUACACUAAAAAUAAAGUUAAUACUUACUUCGCCAAAUAAACACAAAUCUUACAAAUCUUUAAUAAUAAACAACUAAAUAAAAAUAACCUGAUAAGUACAGAAAUGGAAACAACAAUAUAUAAAAGUAAUUAUUAAUAAAUGUACCUUGUGCAUUAUGGUUUUACAAGAAAAUAAAUUAAAAAUACCUAUCCCGAAUUCUAAAUGAGAUGUCAAACUGCUGUUAAGAACCCACUAAUAACUGUAGAAAAAGUUUUAAAAGACAGUUUGACAGAGGCUACAUACCAUUCGCAUAAGAAUAUAUCUGGUUUUCAACAAACAUUAUAUAUUAAAGCAUAUAAUUAUAUUAUAGUGUAAUAUUAUUGAGGAUAAGCCCAAUAAUAAAAGCAAUACUAACAUAAAUCUAUUAUAAUCAAUAGGCCUAAAAUCAGCCAAUAAAAAUACUUUAUCGUAACAAAUAAAGAUAAAAUAUAUACCCAAACUAUGCUAAAUAAAGUUGAAAUAACGAAUAAACUAAAUAAUUCGCCCAUAUUAUGUAAAAAUAAGUAUUAAGUUAAAAUAUAAUAUUAACCAAAAAUAAACAAAAAUUAAAUAAUAAAUAAUUAAUUAAGGAACUCGGCAAAACAUUAUUUCGACUGUUUAACAAAAACAUUGUCUCAUGAAUAAAAUAUAAGAUA